rnacentral:rRNA from 1 species
GCGUGGGGAGCAAACAGGAUUAGAUACCCUGGUAGUCCACGCCCUAAACGAUGCGAACUGGAUGUUGGGGGCCAUUUGGCACGGCUUCCGGAGCUAACGCGUUAAGUUCGCCGCCUGGGGAGUACGGUCGCAAGACUGAAACUCAAAGGAAUUGACGGGGGCCCGCACAAGCGGGGGAGUAUGUGGUUUAAUUCGAUGCAACGC